AUAGGAUAAAGGAAUAUAUUAAAAUGUCCCACUUAACGCGUUUCACCUAAACAGGCUUCUUCAGAAGUGUGGUAAAGAGUCCAAAAAGUCCAUUUUUAUAUCCUGAUUAAUGGGGUGAUGGUUUCCUGGUGUGUUACUUCCUGGUUCCGGGCUCCGGUUGACACGCACGCGUCAUACCGGAAGUGACGCGACGCGCGCGUCAUCCCGGAAAUGACGUGUCGCUCGCAUCGAUCAAGAAAAUAUUUGCGGCAUCAAAUUGAAAGAAUAACAAUGUUAUGUUAUGGCGCAUUGGAACGCACAUAUCACCAAUAGGUGGUGUGUGUGACGUUCCGAGCGCUGCCCGCUUUAAAGCCUCAUAAUGUGAGGUGUGGGCAUAUGGUACUAUGUAAAUAGCUUGGCGGCCAUCUUUAAUAUGGGCAUCCAUAAAGUAAAAUAAACAU